CAAUAGCGUAUAUUAAAGUUGUUGCAGUUAAAAAGCUCGUAGUUGGAUUUCUGGUAGGAGUGACCGUUCCGAACUUGAUUGUUCGUGUAUUGUGUUUUCUCCAGCCAUCCUUGUGGAGAACUUUUCUUGCAUUAAUUUGUAGGGAUUGGGACCCGCAUCGUUUACUGUGAAAAAAUUAGAGUGUUUAAAGCAGGCAAUCGCUUGAAUACAUUAGCAUGGAAUAAUAAGAUAGGACUUUGGUACUAUUUUGUUGGUUUGCAUACCAAAUUAAUGAUCAACAGGAACAGUUUGAGGAUAUUCGUAUGAACAUGUCAGAGGUGAAAUUCUUGGAUUUUGAUCAGACGAACUACUGCGAAAGCAUUUAUCAAGGAUGUCUUCAUUAA
rnacentral:rRNA from 1 species